GUGAUAGAAUUGAAGGGAAGAAUGGAAAUUAAUUUCCUGCCAGGUUAGCCGUCAUAAAGACAAAUAUCUUUUUUGUUUAGGUAUUUCAGAUCACUGUACCAGAACAUUGUCUUCAUUGUGGAGAAAAAUAAAUUAUUUUAUAAGUAUAAGGAAUCGUCUACAUGUCACAGUUUAUAACUUUUAUUUGGGUUAAAUGCAGCCUUCGUGAAGUGAAACAGUGAUAAAGGUCUUCUAAAUGUGCAAGCGAAAUUUAAUAUUUCUGUUGCAUAAUUAGAUUGACGGAACUACAUCUUUUCCUCCUUCGAAUCGAAGAAAAGGGCGGUGCGCGCUCCCGACAGGGGGUGCAUUUAACGGCAGGGGUGCAGAAUUCGGCACAACACCUGUUCGGAUUAAGUUCGAGAACCGAGGUACCACUGUACAAAGAACAAACUCACCGUUCAUGUACUGUGAAUAACAACCAGUAUCAAGUCGCUGAAAGUGCUCUUUGAAAGAAUGUCAGCAGAAAAUGAUUAUUCAUAU